ACUGAGGCAUCAACAGCACCGCAGCUCUGAGAGUGAUGCUUAUGAUCCAGUAAGCCAUGAUGAGAGGGCGGCUCCUGUUUGUGCUCUGGUGCUCCAACAUCAUGGCAGUGGCCCACAUCAUCACAGUUGGUGGGAAUCGUUGCACGAGCGACUUAACUGAAACCAUAACCUGUGCGUGGCACUUCAGCGAUGGUGUUGUGGUCGAGUCCAAAAAUUACAGCCUGGAAUUUACGACACUUGAUCCUCCAAAACAGUAAGUCAUUUUUAUUGAA